rnacentral:rRNA from 1 species
CAGCUUACACAUGCAGUCGAGGGGCAGCACGGGUAGCAAUAUCUGGUGGCGACCGGCGCAAGGGUGCGUAACGCGUGAGCAACAUGCCCGUAUCAGGGGAAUAAUCCAGGGAAACUUGGUCUAAUACCCCAUAGCAAUUGGAGGAGGCAUCUUUUUCAAUUUAAAGCUUUGGUGGAUACGGAUUGGCUCGCGUGACAUUAGCUAGAUGGUAAGGUAACGGCUUACCAUGGCUACGAUGUCUAGGGGUUCUGAGAGGAAGAUCCCCCACACUGGAACUGAGACACGGUCCAGACUCCUACGGGAGGCAGCAGUGAGGAAUAUUGGACAAUGGAUGGAAAUCUGAUCCAGCCAUGCCGCGUGCAGGAAGACGGCCCUAUGGGUUGUAAACUGCUUUUGUAUGGGAGCAAUAAGGUCUAUGCGUAGACUGAUGAGAGUACCAUACGAAUAAGCAUCGGCUAACUCCGUGCCAGCAGCCGCGGUAAUACGGGGGAUGCAAGCGUUAUCCGGAUUUAUUGGGUUUAAAGGGUGCGUAGGCGGUUUGAUAAGUCAGCGGUGAAAUAUUUCAGCUUAACUGAAAGGGUGCCGUUGAUACUGUCAGGCUUGAAUAUGGUUGCUGUGGGUGGAAUGUGUGGUGUAGCGGUGAAAUGCUUAGAUAUCACACAGAAUAUCGAUUGCGAAGGCAGCUCACAAAGCCAUUAUUGACGCUGAUGCACGAAAGUGUGGGGAUCAAACAGGAUUAGAUACCCUGGUAGUCCACACUGUAAACGAUGAUAACUCGCCGUCGGCGAUACACAGUCGGUAGCCAAGCGAAAGCGAUAAGUUAUCCACCUGGGGAGUACGACCGCAAGGUUGAAACUCAAAGGAAUUGACGGGGGCCCGCACAAGCGGAGGAACAUGUGGUUUAAUUCGAUGAUACGCGAGGAACCUUACCCGGGCUCGAACG